rnacentral:rRNA from 1 species
UACGUAGGGGGCAAGCGUUGUCCGGAUUUAUUAGGCGUAAAGAGCGUGUAGGCGGCCAUACAGGUCAGCUGUGAAAACUCGAGGCUCAACCUCGAGACGCCGGUUGAAACCGUAUGGCUAGAGUCCGGAAGAGGAGAGUGGAAUUCCCGGUGUAGCGGUGAAAUGCGCAGAUAUCGGGAAGAACACCCGUGGCGAAGGCGGCUCUCUGGGACGGUACUGACGCUGAGACGCGAAAGCGUGGGGAGCGAACAGG